CACGUAGGGGGCAAGCGUUGUCCGGAUUUAUUGGGCGUAAAGGGCUCGUAGGCGGCCAACUAAGUCGGACGUGAAAUCCCUCGGCUUAACCGGGGAACUGCGUCCGAUACUGGAUGGCUUGAGUUCGGGAGAGGGAUGCGGAAUUCCAGGUGUAGCGGUGAAAUGCGUAGAUAUCAAGUGGAACACCAGUGGCGAAGGCGAGUCUCUGGACAUUUCCUGACGCUGAGGCACGAAAGCCAGGGGAGCAAACGGG
rnacentral:rRNA from 1 species